UACGGAGGGUGCGAGCGUUGUCCGGAAUCACUGGGCGUAAAGGGCGCGUAGGCGGCCUGAUAAGUAGGGGGUGAAAUCCUGCGGCUUAACCGCAGGGCUGCCUUCUAAACUGUCAGGCUGGAGCACAGUAGAGGCAGGUGGAAUUCCCGGUGUAGUGGUGGAAUGCGUAGAGAUCAGGAAGAACACCUAUGGCGAAGGCAGCUCUCUGGGACGGUACUGACGCUGAGACGCGAAAGCGUGGGGAGCGAACAGG
rnacentral:rRNA from 1 species